GCUUGUCUCAAAGAUUAAGCCAUGCAUGUCUCAGCAUAAGCUUCAACACGGUGAAACUGCAAAUGGCUCAUUAAAGCAGUUACAAUUUAUUUGAUGGUCACUGUUACAUGGAUAACUGUGGUAAUUCUAGAGCUAAUACAUGCUGUAAGCCUGACUUUAUGGGAAGGUUGUAUUUAUUAGAUCCCAAACCGAUAGCUUCGGCUAUUGUGACGAAUCAUAAUAACUUGUCGGAUCGGGUAUUACUCGAUGGAUCAUUCAAGUUUCUGCCCUAUCAGCUUUCGAUGGUAGUGUAUUGGACUACCAUGGCGAUAACGGGUAACGGGGAAUUAGGGUUCGAUUCCGGAGAGGGAGCCUGAGAAACGGCUACCACUUCUAAGGAAGGCAGCAGG
rnacentral:rRNA from 1 species